rnacentral:lncRNA from 1 species
CUGAAGGCUUGCAUUGUGCAGUCACAUAAAGGGAGAGCUAACCAGAAAACAGCAGCUGAUGAUCUGAAGCCAGGCUGUGCUAUUGUCCGGCACACAAAUGUUCUACAAGGACCCAGACCACCAUGCAGUUCUCUGUGCACAGACUAUGGAGGUUCGGGGAGGGGGGGCAGUGGAGGGGGCCAGGGCUUUUCUCCCUUCCUUUUCUUUCUUUCCUUCCUGAAACCUUUUCCUUCCAAUCCCUCUACAGCCGCGCACAUUCAACGGCUAGCAAUUAUUCCCAUUGACCCUCCUCACUCUCCAAAUGGGGUGUGGGUCUCUGAAGGUUUUCUCUUUGUACCUGACAACCCCAUGUUGCAGGCAGGCUCCAGGGAGGAGGUGAGGGCUCAGCUCCCUGGGGACGGUGACUGGGAAUGGAGUGGCUGUGAUUUAUUUUCCAUCGAGCAAAGUCAAAGCGAGGACUCCAAGUUCCAUACGAUAGCAACCACAACAACAGCUGUCAUUGGUUAUUUAGUGUGUCAGAGAACUAGGGGGCAUCUACAAGAAUGUAUAUUCAUCUAAAUUCGUGGGACAGAGGACUCAGGCAGAAAGGCUUUUCAAAGGCGUGCUGCAUCUUGCUCGGUGAGUGAGCAUUUCUCAAUUCUUUCUUAGAAGCAGACAUUAAAACCUGCAGCACAGUCAUUUAGAAUUUCAAAGGUUUCUUCUUCAGGGGGUGGGACACAAAGACACCACCGUUAUUCACAUAAUGCUGGGAUGGUGGGGGACAGUAGCACACCAUUAACGAAGUCUGUGCAGCAAACCUUUAUGGAGAAAGGCAAGAGCUAUUCAGCCAGGAUAAAGAAGAUGCUCAUUACAGUUGUUUAAGAAAAAAAAGAUUAUUAUCAUUAUUGCCUUUUAAAAUUUGCUCCUGCAUGCUACCUAGCUUGGGAGAACUUAAGAGGGGAAAGGCAAUUUUUAAAGGUAGUUCAUAGAUCACUAAAGAAUCACAAAACACUCAACAUUCAGUGCACACCCAUCUCUCUCUCUCUCUCUCUCUCUCAAUCUGACUUGAGGGUGUCAAUCUGAAUUUAGAAUAAAUGCAACACCCACAUCA